CCAGCGAGGAAGUUUGAGCAGUUGAGUAAUGUAUCUGAACAGUAUUGUGGGACACUAGAAGAGGUGGGAACUGCCCUUUAAAAGGAAGCUGUUACGCCAUUUCAAAUCCAUUUAUUUGGCACUGUACAGUGUGCUUGUUUUGCUAACUGGAAAGAUUAUGUGGAGCUAGUGCAGACGACUACUUUUUACAUAAGAACAACUCUCACCAGUUUGAGCAGUGUUUAGUUCUGGGUGAUAGACUUCAGCAGGACCAGGCUUCACAACUAGGAUGGAAGGAAACAAUCCUUUCUGCUCCUGUUUUCUGGAGGACGGCAGCUCCGCGGCACACCAGCACACCUACCAGCUGAGGGACCUGUGCAUCUCCCUCACCCCAAUAGCCUGGUAUUUCCCCACAGCUCCACAGGUAUGA